UACGUAGGGUGCGAGCGUUAAUCGGAAUUACUGGGCGUAAAGAGCUCGUAGGCGGUUUGUCGCGUCGGAUGUGAAAGCCCGGGGCUUAACCCCGGGUCUGCAUUCGAUACGGGCAGACUAGAGUGUGGUAGGGGAGAUCGGAAUUCCUGGUGUAGCGGUGAAAUGCGCAGAUAUCAGGAGGAACCCCGGUGGCGAAGGCGGAUCUCUGGGCCAUUACUGACGCUGAGGAGCGAAAGCGUGGGGAGCGACAGG
rnacentral:rRNA from 1 species